rnacentral:lncRNA from 1 species
AUUUCUUCAGUUUUAUAUGUAUGUAGAGAAAAAUCAUCUGUAGAAUGGUAUAAUGGCAAAUUAAGAACAACUUUUCUUUUUUCUUCUAUUUUAUCAGGAUUUUGACAACAGUAUGAUCAGUCACUUUGUUCUAUUUUGAGAAUGAUUUGGCAACGAUACAAUGUCAUUUCACCAUGGAAGAUUCUUUUAGUCUAUUACUUUCCUCUCUUUCUGAGAUGUUGACGACAAUUCUCCGAGCAUCCAAUCCCCUUCCGGUCCACUUCUCAAACCACAUUUAGAACUCGAAAAGGGGGAAUACUAGCUAGAAAUUGCUCAAAUUUCCAUCAUACAAAUUGAUGAGGAUUGCAUGUAACAAUUAAAUCAAAUGGUGCUGUGAUAAAUGUAAGUUGUUCUCUCCAUCAGUAGUCGUUUUUCAAAUUUUUACUACUUAGCUUUGCUUGCAUGUUAAUUCCUUUUAUUCGUUAUAUCUUGUUGAGCAGUGCGUAGCAUCUAUUUGCACUGUGAAGCCGAGGAAACAUCUUUGCUCGAAAUGAAAUUUAAG